GCCUGGUCCCAAGGUAGUGAGUUAUCUCAUCUGAUUCUUCACAGUCAGUUACAGAUUGAACUCCUUGUUCUAUUUCUUUCCCCCUCCUCACUACUGCACUUGACUAGUCUUUA
rnacentral:Y_RNA from 1 species